GCAAGAAACAACGUAUUGCAUGCUCAAGACCACGCCAAACUGUGUGAUGGACCCAUAUCGCUGAGGAAUACAAGAUAUGUACAAACACAACUUCCAUAGGAAAAGCACGUCCAGGUCAAAGUACGACGAGCAGGCAGGGGAUGACCACCGAAUCCACAAGAAGGUCUCGGCAGAUCAGACAUUGGAGUUCUUCGGGCACAGGGAUGUUGUCAUCCUCUGGCUCACUCUCUUCUUGGUGCAAAAAGGGAUGCUUCUCCUUCUUGCCCACGGCGUACGCCUGGCUGCGGGCAUGCGGUUAAAUAAAUGAGUCAUAUUUGCUCUUGGUCUUACCUCCUGGGUACGGAGCUAACCAGAUACACUCACGCAUCGAUGGCAGGAAUUGCAAAACGUCCACAAUUAGUCAGCAUGGCUCCUCUGAUGUUGGGGUCGUCCACUUCCACCAUGAAGGAGCGAGGAAUGCCUGUGCUUUUCUUUAUCUUUGGAGGAGCAUCGAAAUUCUUAUCCUGUCGUCGGUAAAACACAAAGUUAUGAGUAAGAGCUCACGGUGAAUGCUUGGACUGAUUUAUGAUAUGUUGCUUACAUACCCCAGCGGAUGGACAUUUCCUGAUGUGGUGUCCGGCGUUUCCGCAGCGGAAACAGGUGUAGUUAGCAGGGAGCACCCCACCUAAUUUUUUGUUGUAACUCGAGAGACUGACGCAGGAAAAGCAUUGGGUUACCAAGAAGGAAAGAAUAUCGACGAAUCAAGACCAUAACGGGAGCAUCACUCACGUCAUGGGGUCGUAUGCGGACUGAUUCAUCACGACUUUGAUCUUAUCAUCCUCUGACACAUCAGCGGAUGCCAGGUUCACCAUCUGCACGGAGAGAAAAGUUGUGUGUGCCCAAAAGAAACGACCGCGGCACAUUUCUUAAAAAAUAAAAUAAAGAUU